rnacentral:misc_RNA from 1 species
UUUGAAAGCCUAGCAGUCUAAAACUAAGGCAACCCUUAAGAUGGAACACUAGCCAACUCGAGUGAAAUAGACCUGAAUCACAACCCAGGAAAAAAACAGAGAAGGAGAUCAACUCCCUUGUCCCAUAGACCACUUGUUGCCAUUGAGAACUCAACCACGAAGAAAGAAUAAGAUUUGAGGAAACUCAACCCAAACAUACCGCAUGCAAGUUAAAAAGCCAACCCAAAAGGUAAAAGAGUUUUCCAAAACACAAAGUCAAACUCAAGGCACAACAAUUUACAACCAGACUCAAAGUUGAAGCCGAUGGACAAGAGCUAUAACAGUCUAGCAAACUAAGAGAGGCUUGACAGGG